AUAUUCAUUACACUACAUCUGAUGGGUAUGGUCCUGUGCGCGUUGACAACGGCGAAUAUCGCAGACGAUGAAACUAUGAGCUGUACGAGUUAAGCGGCGACAUUGAUAUAGUUCCGCAAAUCUAAAAGCAGAGGCUACGCGGGCUAGGUCAUUUGCCCCGGAUGGAUACGAAUACGCCAACUUUGGAAGUUUUCGAUGCAGUACCCGCCGGUGAAAGCAGAGGAAGAGGAAGACCUCCACUACGAUGGAAAGACAAGGUAGAGAAGGACGUGGCUGUACUUGGUAUUGGCGCAAAAAGUAGAAACGAAUGGCACAAUGUUGUUAACUCGGUUAUAAUCUCGUAAACGGUGUUUACGCUAGCAAACACAACGCAAUACCAUAACAACAAAACACACGCAAUUUUAUGCAAUAGCUGCAAAAUGAACCCAUGUUAAAUUUCUUGCAAUGAAAUGUGGCAAAAUAAAUGCGACCCUAUGCCAGCUGUCUUUUAUUAUUGCUUUGGAAAUAUUUUGUUGAUGAAGAUACAAUGACUGAAGGAAGCGCGCCGCCGACAAAUAGGCCAAAGCAGCAUGCUAAAAGGAAAUAGAGCGAACGUGAGGUUCUCCAAAAAAUUAAGUUGGGCUCUUCGAUUAAGCUGAUGGCAAGACGCAAAAAUUUCGAAAAUAUGUCCACACUUCGAGCGGUUAAAAUAAAGUUUUGGUAACCGCAUUCCGGACGCCGCCAGUGGAUACAUUUGUAGAAGAAAUUGUCGGCUUCGAGGUACCAUGUGCUGCACCCUCCGCUGUAAUAACUCCCACCGCCUCAUCCUCAACAUCUCGCGGAGCAGCCUCACCGCCGUUUACCUGCUUAUUGCUGUGCAGAAUCAAAAAUUUCAAAUGGAACAGCGACUUAGUUUAGAGGAAAAUAAGUUCCAAAAACAGAAGGAUAUGUAUGAUAUGAAGAAGUUGGUACUGGAAGUGAAGCAGUGGGAGCUUGAAGACAAAUGGAUUGGAAUUGGAAAUCAAGGAGAGGGUAGCAAAAUAUGAAAUCGGUACUAUCAAGCCUAUUUUUUCAGUAAAUCUUGUUACUAUUUCGUGUUUUGUGUUCAUUUUCACCUGUUAAUUUUGUUGCCCGCGAAAUGGGAGGUAGCAACAUAUCUGCUGUUUGAUUUUGAGUUGUUAGUUUGAGAAAAAAUAAAAACCAAAAUGUGUAGGCAUAGUUUAGGUCUAUUAUUCAUUGAAGAUGAAAAAAUGUGUGCAAAAUGGCAUAUGCUAAAAAUUUUAUGAUACAAAAACGACCCUUUUAAUUUGGAAGAUAUUGUUUUCAUUCCGCUUUUUUUUGUCGUCCUGGCAUAGUUUCCAUAUAUAGAUUCAAUUAUUUAUGUCUUAAUAAAUAAAUAAGACUCAUUUACAUUGUUGCACUCCGGCUUCCAUUUCGAUGUGAAUAUUCUUUGCAAACUUCCAAAUGUAAUUUGACAUGGUCGAAAUAGGCAGAGGUGCCAAAGUUUUGUAAAAACGUUAGUUAAAAGCUUUGCGUUUGGCAUAGUCUAACUCUUGCAAAUUGAAACGAAAUGCAGUGAUAAGUGUGGUCAAAAAUUGAACAAGCAGAAUCGCUUGCCAACCAUUGUGUUGAUGAAAAAAAAGAAAAGUGAAGAAAGCACUAUUACGAAAUAUGCGAGUGUCAUGUGCACUACCAAAGUGUUCUACAACGACAUGUCAAAUCCUUAAUUUGUAAUCGCAUACGACUAGUGCCUUUAUUCUACUCGGGCAGAUUAAACUCGGAAGCAUAAACACUUUUUCACCGCGAGUUAAAGCGUCUACUCGGGUAGAUUAUACACAUUUUCUCUAAAUUUGUAGAAGAAUUAACUCAGUAGCAUUAUCGCGGGCUGAGUUGAAAUCAGCUGAUUUAUUGUGCGGUACUAUAUACAGUAUGUCGACUGUAAAUCACAUACCAUUUCCAAACACUAAAUUUUGUUCAUCUUUGUUAAAAAAACUUUUGAAUAAAAAAUAUAAAUUCACUAAAUAUCCCCAUGAAAUAUCAGCUAGUAAGUGCGGAAUUGUUGGAAAUGUGCCGUCACUUUUCAAAGAAUAUUUACAAACGUAGACGAAGGCGUGUGAUAAACAUGUUGACUUUGUGAAGUAGAGACCCGUUAGUCGACGUAAUAUUGCUCUGCUGUUUAAGUUUUUCAUUUUAUUCUAUAAUUUAUAGUUGGCGGGCGCUGUAGUCGAGUGACUAGCAUUGCAAAUUCAUUUAAAUAAAAACUUAAGCUUAAUUUUCUAAUUGCGGUCGCCUCUCGGCAGGGAAUG
rnacentral:lncRNA from 1 species